GACAGGUGUCACACUUGUCACAUGGAAGUAGCAAAGCUGGAGGGGACUGCCGGAGGGGCAAUCCCUGCCCACCCCCUGCCCUUCAUGACAUUCUGGGAGGGAGGGAUGUUUGCUGAGCCCAGAUUCCAGCCUCCCCCCACCACACACACAGGUGAGUCUUGGGGCCCCAGGUCAGGAGACCUGCAGGAGAUUGGUCAGCUGGACCCUGCUGAGUCACCCUGAGCUCCCCUGCCCUGAGGCCUGACCACUCCUAGCCAGGUCAUGUGGGAGUAGAUUUCUUUCACGUCGCGCCGCAUGUUGAGCUCCAGGAAUUGCACCUUGAUGUAGUUGCCCGCGUCCUCACGUCCUUCUUGUUGAGGAAGAGGACGAUGGACGUGGUGGCGAAGUAGCGGUGGUUGCAGAUGCUGUUGAACAGCACCAUGUCGUAAGCGCUGAGCGCCGCGAUGAAGAUAAUGCAGGUCACGCCCUCGAAGCAGUGGAUCCACUUCUUGCGCUCCGAGCGCUGCCCGCCCACGUCGAACAUCCUGCGGGGCCGUGGGGACCUGAACCCGCGCCCCGAG